AGGACAAAAUUCUUAAAAUCCAAAAGAAAUUCUCCUUAUUUCCAUAGAUGGAACUUCGGAGCCCAGAUAGAUUUGAAUGGGCUUCUAAUGGAGGAAUGGAUGAAAUUUCCAUCUAUGAGGUCUUCCUGGUGGCGGGUUUUAGAAGAGGAACACAUUCUCUAAUAGCGGAAGUUUGUUAUUUGGUAUUUCUCUUUCACAACUCGAUCCUCUGACUUGGCGAACUCUAAUUUUCACCCAAGUACUGAGAGAGUGCAUACCCUUUAGCAUGCAUGAGAUUUUUAAUGAUAUUUCUUUACUCCACUGGCUAAUAGGAGAGAGUUCUAUCAUAUUUGUUCCCGUGAUGCCCAACCCUUUGCUAAAGAACCGUUAAAGGCUACCUGAGAUAUCAUACCUUUUGAGAAUCGUUGGAAUAUCUAUCUUCUAUCUUCUAUCUUCUAUUUUCUAUAUUUAUAAAAGAGGGUUUUAUCCCUCCUCUUUACGCCACAUAGGAUGCCAGCUAGAUAAGUCGAUGCCUCUCAUCGUGUCCACUUAAAGUAAACGAUGCGUUUCAUUUAAAUUAUUAUGCAUACAUGUGGGCUUCGUAUUAUUUUGGGCCCUAACUUUUUCACACUUUACCAGCCCGUACGGAAACACACCGUUUUGAUACGAGGGUUGAGCCCCUCUUCAUCUCCGAUAUUUGAGAUCGACGCACAAACUGAGUUCUAAAAGCGUUGAUUCGUCUUCACCAAAGUGGACAACGUAAUCUAGGGUUCAUCUUAUUCUUCGAUCCCUGAGCAUCUUCACCAACAAUGGAGUUUCUAUAGGAUGCGUGAGUUAGUCUUGAAGAAUCUCUGUAAGAAGCUUCGAUUGCGUCUUUACGCCUUCCUUUCUAAUCCUUCGAAACGUUAAUGGUUAUUAAUUCAUCGCUUUAACAAACAUCUGAAUACCAUCAACCCACGUCGAGCACGAUCUGAGAUUGAUUCAUCUUAUCCCGCUGCAAGUCGGUCUCUCUGCACCUAUAAAAGGUAAGCCAUCUUUCCUUGAACAUCAUCCUCUCAAUCCGUGAUAACACCAAAGUUAAUUUAUUCUUUGAAUGGCUAACUCAUCAAUCCUCUUCUUUAAUGGCUUCUCGAGCUGCGACACAAGAAGCUGCGGUGAACGGAGUCCUCAUCGGUUCGAAUCAGCCCUAAGGACGAGGAGUCGCGGAGAUCUCUGAUCUCGUACCUCUCAUUCCUCCUCUCGAUAUCUCUCGCUCAUCAUGAUAGAGGAGGAUUACGUGGCUAUGUGAGGAGAUGGAGUUGAGAUGAGGAUGCUAGCUCUUACUGCUUUAGAUGUUCUACGGUUCCUCAGAUUUUUCAAUCGAUACAGGUUUUUGUGUUUUGAGUGAACUUUUGACGCUGAGGAAGUGAGGAUAUGAAAGAGUUCAGUGUGUAGCAUGCAAGACAACAGAUGAGUUAUUGCAAUAAGCUGGCUAAACUUGAUGGAGUUCCAUACCGUGAUUUCACUGGAUAGGUCUAGGGUUUUUUUUUUGGAAAAUAAAAUAAUUUAGUUUGCAUCUUAUUGAGGGUUAACAUGAUAAACUCAAGCAUCUUGCUUAGUUGUUGUUUGUCUUGCGCUGUGUGCUGUUCGCAGGAGAAGAUUUGCCUAUUCUCUACGGGUUUGAAUGUAAGGAUAAUGUUUGAGACCAACACACGAAACCCACCGGGUCUUAUAAAUGACAAUGUCACUUACCAAA